GACGAACGCUGGCGGCGUGCUUAACACAUGCAAGUCGAACGGAAAGGCCCUGCUUUUGUGGGGUGCUCGAGUGGCGAACGGGUGAGUAACACGUGAGUAACCUGCCCUUGACUUUGGGAUAACUUCAGGAAACUGGGGCUAAUACCGGAUAGGAGCUCCUGCUGCAUGGUGGGGGUUGGAAAGUUUCGGCGGUUGGGGAUGGACUCGCGGCUUAUCAGCUUGUUGGUGGGGUAGUGGCUUACCAAGGCUUUGACGGGUAGCCGGCCUGAGAGGGUGACCGGCAAAUUUGGACUUGGGUAAGGGCCCGGACUCCAAGGGAGGCAGCAGUGGGGAAUAUUGCACAAUGGGCGGAAGCCUGAUGCAGCAACGCCGCGUGCGGGAUGACGGCCUUCGGGUUGUAAACCGCUUUCGCCUGUGACGAAGCGUGAGUGACGGUAAAGGGUAAAGAAGCACCGGCUAACUACGUG
rnacentral:rRNA from 1 species